rfam:Heligmosomoides polygyrus genome assembly, scaffold: HPBE_scaffold0004613
GCGCCGGUGGUGUAAGGCGAACAUCGCUGCCCGGAAAGCAGAAGAUGCGGGUUCGAGUCCCGCCUGGUGCA